UACGGCAGUGUUCACAGCCUCAGCCCAAA
rnacentral:sRNA from 1 species